rnacentral:lncRNA from 10 species
AAAAAUAUCAGUCGGGGAGUAGGACUGAAUGAAAUGAAAUUAUUUUAAAGUUUUACAUUGUAAAAUUCAGUCUAACAAUAGCUGAGAGAUUGAUUUCAGAAAUACUAAAACUUACUACAAAGCUGCUGCAAUUAAAAAACAAAAAAAGUGAUAAUUAGCACAGUAAUGAAACAGUGGAACCAGAAUAGAGAGUCUAGCAAAAGAUCUCAGUAUAUUUCAGACUUAGUAAUUUGUUAAAGUUAGUACAGAUAUUUUAUCUGAAACCUUAGGGCCAGAAGCCUCAGAAUUAAUUUUUCAGCUUCAGAAAACCAAUAUGCAAGGCUGGGGGCAGUGGCUCACACCUGCAAUCCCAGCACUUUGGGAGGCUUAGGUGGGAUUGCUUGAGCCCAGGAGUUCCUGACCAUAGUGAGAUCUCGUCUCUACAAAAAAUAAAAAAUUAGCCAAGCAUGGUGGUGAGUGCCUAUAGUCCCAGCUACUCAAGAGGCUAGCAUGGGAAGAUCACUUGAGCCCAGGAGUUUGAGGCUGCAGUGAGCCGUGAUCACACAAUGGCAGUGCAGCCUGGGCAACAGAGUGAGACUCCUAUCUCUAAAAUAAAAUAAAAAGAAAGACAA